AUUGAACGCUGGCGGCAGGCUUAACACAUGCAAGUCGAGCGGGGUGAUGGUGCUUGCACUAUCACUUAGCGGCGGACGGGUGAGUAAUGCUUAGGAAUCUGCCUAUUAGUGGGGGACAACAUCUCGAAAGGGAUGCUAAUACCGCAUACGUCCUACGGGAGAAAGCAGGGGAUCACUUGUGACCUUGCGCUAAUAGAUGAGCCUAAGUCGGAUUAGCUAGUUGGUGGGGUAAAGGCCUACCAAGGGGACGAUCUGUAGCGGGUCUGAGAGGAUGACCGCCACACUGGGACUGAGACACGGCCCAGACUCCUACGGGAGGCAGCAGUGGGGAAUAUUGGACAAUGGGGGGAACCCUGAUCCAGCCAUGCCGCGUGUGUGAAGAAGGCCUUAUGGUUGUAAAGCACUUUAAGCGAGGAGGAGGCUCUUUUGGUUAAUACCCAAGAUGAGUGGACGUUACUCGCAGAAUAAGCACCGGCUAACUCUGUGCCAGCAGCCGCAGUAA
rnacentral:rRNA from 1 species